UCGGGGACCGGGAUCGGGGACCGGGAUUGGGGAAUAUCUGUAUGUGCGGGGCACCCAGGUGUCAUCCAGGAGGGGAGAACAUCCAGAUGUGAGCUGAGCAGCCGGACGGAGAAGAGAAAAGCCUCAUUUCUGUACAACAGUCCAUUGGAUCCAAAGCAAUGGAAGUGGACAGGAGGAGAAUGGGCAGGAAUUUCCUCUAUUUUGCUUCUCUUUUCUCAUCUUGUGGAUUUCAAUCCUGCUGCUGCACAGGGCCAGCCAAAGCCCUGUUUAUGGCUCACUCAUUCCAAGGGACUUCUCUUGUCUUUGGUGGGAUGGUGGAAACCAAACAGAGCCCAGAUGGGAACACCCAGAGCUGGAGGAGCAUCACCUCAACCAUCUCCCAGGCCUGAGGUGGCAUUCAUUGGAUCCUUCUUGCACAAGCUCUGCGGUUUAGCCUUGGCAGAGCAAUUAUAGCUGGACAAGUGCUGAAAUACCUCUGUGUGUGAGAGCAGAGGCUGAGGAACUGCCCAGCCUGGCCCUGGGAUGGGGAUGAACAGCCUGCCUGGAUCAGCUGAGCCUCCAGCAGCUGCCCUGCCCUGUCCUUGUGCUGCUGACAGCCACACCAUGCUCAGCAGCAAGUCAAACUAGAGGGAAGGGCUGGAUUUUCCUCCCAACAUCUUUAUUCUCAUGUAAUCAAAAUCCAUUUAAGAUCUGAUUAAAAGAUUGAAUUAACCAAUAAAA